CAGCCGCCGCGGUAAUACGGAGGGUGCAAGCGUUAUCCGGAUUCACUGGGUUUAAAGGGUGCGUAGGCGGGUAUGUAAGUCAGUGGUGAAAUCUCGGAGCUUAACUCCGAAACUGCCAUUGAUACUAUAUAUCUUGAAUAUUGUGGAGGUUUGCGGAAUAUGUCAUGUAGCGGUGAAAUGCUUAGAUAUGACACAGAACACCUAUUGCGAAGGCAGCAGGCUACACAUAUAUUGACGCUGAGGCACGAAAGCGUGGGGAUCAAACAGGAUUAGAUACCCUGGUAGUCCACGCCCUAAACGAUGGAUACUCGACAUACGCGAUACACUGCGUGUGUCUGAGCGAAAGCAUUAAGUAUCCCACCUGGGAAGUACGACCGCAAGGUUGAAACUUAAAGGAAUUGGCGG
rnacentral:rRNA from 1 species